rnacentral:misc_RNA from 1 species
GAUGAAGAACGUAGCGAAAUGCGAUAAGUAAUGUGAAUUGCAGAAUUCAGUGAACCAUCGAAUCUUUGAACGCACAUUGCGCCCGCCAGUAUUCUGGCGGGCAUGCCUGUUCGAGCGUCAUUUCAACCCUCAAGCACAGCUUGGUGUUGGGACUCGCGUUAAUUCGCGUUCCUCAAAUUGAUUGGCGGUCACGUCGAGCUUCCAUAGCGUAGUAGUAAAACCCUCGUUACUGGUAAUCGUCGCGGCCACGCCGUUAAACCCCAACUUCUGAAUGUUGACCUCGGAUCAGGUAGGAAUACCCGCUGAACUUAAGCAUAUCAAUAAGCGGAGGA